AAGCGGAGGAACAUGUGGUUUAAUUCGAUGAUACGCGAGGAACCUUACCUGGGCUUAAAUGUAGAGUGCAUUUUUAGAGAUAGAAAUUCCCUUCGGGGCUUUCUGCAAGGUGCUGCAUGGUUGUCGUCAGCUCGUGCCGUGAGGUGUCGGGUUAAGUCCCAUAACGAGCGCAACCCUUAUCGUUAGUUGCCAGCUGGUAAAGCAGGGGACUCUAGCGAAACUGCCACCGUAAGGUGAGAGGAAGGUGGGAUGACGUCAAAUCAGCACGGCCCUUAUGUCCAGGGCUACACACGUGUUACAAUGGCCGGCACAGAGGGCAGCUACCUGGUGACAGGCUGCUAAUCUCGAAAACCGGUCUCAGUUCGGAUCGAAGUCUGCAACUCGACUUCGUGAAGCUGGAUUCGCUAGUAAUCGCGCAUCAGCCAUGGCGCGGUGAAUACGUUCCCGGGCCUU
rnacentral:rRNA from 1 species